rnacentral:lncRNA from 1 species
UCUCACCUCGCAGCGCAUCAUAAAAGAUCUGCAUAACGAGAUGAACUUAUUGAAGGAAGCAAAGGAGAAGCUUGAAAAUGAGGUGGGAUUCCAUUUAGAAGAAAAAGAAACUCUUCAGAAAGACCUAUAUCAGAGGAAAGAAGAAAUUGAGAGACUAAAUAGGCAAAUUAUCUCCUCUGAGCUUAUGAUGAAGGAUUUUCAUAAUGACGCAAAUUCUCUGAAGGAAGCAAAGGAGAAGCUCGAAAAUGAUGUAGGGUUCCAUUUAGAAGAAAAAGAAGCUCUUCAGAAAGACCUUAGUCGGCACAAAGAAGAAAUCGAGAGAUUAAACAAACGUUCUCUCUCCUCUGAGCUUGUGAUAAAGGAUCUUCAUAAUGACAUAAAUUUGUUGUUGGAGGUGAAGGGGAAACUCGAAAAUGAUGUAGGGUUCCAUGUGGAAGAAAAAGAAGCUCUUCAGAAAGACCUUAGUUGGCACAAAGAAGAAACCAACAGAUUAAAUGAACACAAUCUCUCCUACGAGAUUACGAUAAAGGAUCUUCAUAAUGACCUAAACUCGUUGAAGGAGGCAAAGGAGAAGCUUGAAAAUGAUGUAGGGUUCCACGUAGAAGAAAAGGAAGCUCUUCGGAAAGACCUUAGUUGGCACAAAGAAGAAAUCAACAGAUUAAAUGAACACAAUCUCUCCUCCGAGCUUGUGAUAAAGGAUCUUCAUAAUGAUCUAAACUCGUUGAAGGAGGCGAAGGAGAAGCUUGAAAAUGAUGUAGGGUUCCAUGUUGAAGAAAAAGAAACUCUUCACAAUGACCUUAGUCGGCACAAAGAAGAAAUCGACAGAUUAAAUGAACAGAACCUCUCCUCCGAGCUUAUGAUAAAGGGUCUUCAUAAUGACGUAAACUCGUUGAAGGAGGCAAAGGAAAAGCUUGAAAAUGAUGUACGGUUUCAUGUAGAAGAAAAGGAACCUCUUUGGAAAGACCUUAGUUGGCACAAAGAAGAAAUCAACAGAUUAAAUAAACACAAUCUCUCCUCCGAGCUUAUGAUAAAGGAUCUUCAUAAUGACCUAAACUCGUUGAUGGAGGCAAAGGAGAAACUUGAAAAUGAUGUAGGGUUCCAUGUUGAAGAAAAAGAAACUCUUCAGAAAGACCUCAGUCGGCACAAAGAAGAAAUUGACAGAUUAAAUGAACACAACCUCUCCUCUGAGCUUAUGAUAAAGGAUCUUCAUAAUGAUGUAAACUCGUUGAAGGAGGCAAAGGAGAAGUUUGAAAGUGAUUUAAGGUUCCAUGUAGAAGAAAAGGAAGCUCUUCAGAAAGACCUUAUUCAGCGUAAAGAAGAAAUUGAUAGAUUAAAUGAGCACAUUCUUUCUUCUGAGCUCAGGAUAAAGGAUUUCCAAAAGGACAUAAAUUCGUUAAGGGAAGCAAAGGAAAGGCUCGAAGAUGAUGUAGGGUUGUAUUUAGAAGAAAAAGCAGCUCUUCAGAAAGACCUUAAUCAGAAAAAAGAAGAAAUCGAUGGCCUAAAGGAACAAAAUCUCUCCUCUGUGCACAUGAGAGAAGAUCUCCAUAACGAAAUAAAUUUAUUGAAGGAAACAAAGGAGAAGCUCGAAAGUGAAGUGGGGUUCCAUUUAGGAGAAAAAGCUGUUCUUCAGGAAGACCUUAAUCGGCACAAAGAAGAAAUU